ACGAGAAGACCCUUUAGAGUUUUAUUAAAUUUUAGGAUUAUUUUUUUAGUAUACAAAAUUUAUUUUUUAAUUUAAUUUGGUUGGGGUGAUUAAUAAAUUAAGAAAACUUUAUUUUUAUUUUACAUUCAUUUAUGAUUUUUUGAUCCAUAAUUAAUGAUUAUUAGAAAAAAUUACCUAAGGGAUAACAGCGUAAUUUUUUUGGAGAGUUCUUAUUGAUAAAAAAGAUUGCGACCUCGAUGUUGGAUUAAAAUAAGUGAUUAGGUGCAGAAGCUAGUUAACUUGGUCUGUUCGACCAUUAAAAUUUUACAUGAUCUGAGUUUAAACCGGCGUGAGCCAGGUUGGUUUCUAUCUUUAAUUAGUAUAAGACUUUAGUACGAAAGGACCAAGUUUU
rnacentral:rRNA from 1 species